rnacentral:lncRNA from 1 species
UUGGUUUAUAACCAAGUCUGUUGAGCUAAUAUUUUUAUGUCAUCAGGUAUAUAUUCAUAAGAUAAUUGUUUCAGGAGGCUGGGCAAGACGGCUCAGUGUUUUAAGAGCACUGACUACUCUUCCAGGGGACCCAGGUUCAAUUCCCAGCACCCAUAUGGUAGCUCACAACUGUCUGUAACUCCAGGAUGUGACAUCUUCUCAUAGCCAUACAUGCAGACAAAAUACCAGUUGGACAUAAAAAUAAGUAAAUUAAAAAAAAAAAGAUAAUUGUUUCAAGGGUUUCUGAAAUAGUAUCAAAGACCCAAAACUGCUUUAAAAACUGUGGAAUGCUUUUCUGGUCUCUACACGAACAACUUGGACAUUCCCAUUGUGGCUGGCUUAUGUUUAUUCCAAGGGGCAGUGCCAUGCCAUAUCAGUCAUUAAAGUAUAUAUAAAAUAUGGAUGAGUCCAUUCUUUGUAAUCUGAUUUUCACUACAAGAGUGACCUUUAAGUACUGACUGGUGAUGCCAGCUCACACCAUUACAGUGAAACAUGAACCCCCGGUAAAACCCAGACGGUGCCUGCUGCUUACACUGAAGCUGGGACACCGGAGGAGACACCAGUGCCCUUCCCUGCUACUGGAGUUCCGGGCUUAAGCAGCUAUUGUUGAGAGCUCAGGAGGGAGGCUGAACAACACAUUGGCGGUAUUUCCUGGGUGAAGGUUAUCUUUUCCUCCAAACAAAGGAUUUAAAGUGAGUUCGGAAGCCAGAUGUCUUGAGGAUGCCACCUCUCUUUUGUCUGACCCUCAUGGUUUCUGCCACAGCCCUCUAAUGACCCACUCUAAUGGCGUGAGCGCUGCAGCUUUCUGAAUUUGUGACACAUCUUUUUUUCAUGAAUAAUUUAAAUCUCUAAGUGGCAAUUGAUUUUUUUUUUUAAAGUAAUGUAUUCGUAGUGCGGUCUCUAAAGUCAAUGUUAAAUGUUACAUGAAAUCUGAAGGAGGCAUGUGUCUGUUUUACAAUUUUAACGGUUUUCAUGCACUGAAAAUAAGUUGUUUUUUGUAUUGCUUAUCCUAAAAUAUGGUGGAAGUACUAUUUUACUUUCAAGGACAGGAACAGUGGCUUGCAGAGUGUGUAGUUUUCAGCCAGGAGUCUAAUGGAUUCAGGAGGACUCAUUUAUGGCAGAUGCCUUCUAAAUUUUCAUGUUAAGUUGCCAUUUUGUGACAUCGAGGACACGUUUGUUAUUUCCAAUGGAUUGGUGACUCCCUGGAGCCUCUCUGCGUCUCAGUUUUCUGUGUGUGGCUACAUCUGGUGUGAUACAUUAUCCCCUUCAGUCUGAUGAAUAAUACCAGCCCUUCUCACCCUGAGACAAUGAAGCAGACAGAUUGCAGCUCAAGGGGCAUUCCCCAACCCCCUUCCACAGCUGAUCAUGACAGUUGUGUCCCCCUCCCAGCGAGGCUGGCCCCAGGAACAUCCCCUCUACCCCUUUCUCUGCCAAUGGACAGCUUUCCUUUGUCGCACUGCUUGGCUGUGCCCAUUGUUUGGGCCUGCUGCUUGGUACACGGGGCAGCUUUCCUCAAUAGCACCUUGGAUGGUGGUGUUUUUUUCUUUGUCUGAAGUGUAAGCUUCAUUUAAAUUACGACCUCAAGUUUCAUCUAAACAACGGCUUUUAUUAACAUCAAGCCUCAUGGAUCUAGUCAUUUUGACAGACACACUAACUCAAGACAAUGGUCUUUGCCUCAUGUAAACUCAUGACCAAUUCCUGCUUAGACUUUCUCUUCCGUCCCCAUUCAUUUCCUUGUCAUUUGGGUCCUGGAAGUACUUAUUUGUGGGCCAGUUUAUGUUUAAUGGGUUUGCUGAUUGUUUAGAGCAAUUUGGAAGCUCACUGGACCACUAGAUUCUUGUUCUUUAUUUUGUAGCAGAUGGGGAAUUUACUGGGGGGCUAUUAGUUAAAGUCAGGUGACCUGGGGUGCUCUGGUUGUUAAGGGAGGGAUAUAAUGGGUGUCACUUUUUUCUGAAACUGUUGAGUGCAUCGUAGUUAUCAAUAGUCACUGUAGUAAGGCAUUAUGGUGGAGCUAGCCGCCGCCUCCCUCCCUGCCUUCUUUAUUCUUUCCCUAUUCUCUCUCUACUAAAUCAACAGCUUCAUUCAAAACUUGUUCUUCCUAGGGCUGGCUAUGAUGAGCACCAAGAGGAGGAGGGCCUUCAUGUGUAUCAGUUUUUCUUAGCUCAAAAUGAAUCACGCAUCGGUAGUCCAGUGAACUUAUUUAUGGGAAAUUCCAGAAGUUAACAUACUGUCUGAGGCCAGUCGGGUUCUGUUAUGCCCUUGCAAACUGUUAAGAGCUCGAAUGUUAGUGUAAAAGAAUCAUUGGAACUUUGACUAUUUUAGGAUUUAAGAAAAGAAAAAAAAUCUUUAGAUUCUUUUUUACCUUCAUGUUUGGUUGAUGUUGAUGAUGGAUGGGAAGACAUGGCCUAGUGUAGUUCGUGUUGACUUUGAACUUGCUAUGUGGCUGUGGUUAGCACUGGAGUCCUGAUCCUCUGGCCUCCACCUUCCAAAUGCUGGAUUAUAGGCACAUGUUGAAAGAACCUAGUGGGGAAACCCCCACUCAGCUCCCGAUUCGGCGUGCACCCAAGAAUCACGAAUAGAACACAACACCUUGAUGUAACAACACGAGGUAUUUUAAUGGCGGAGCUCCGGGUCGAAACGUAUCUCACACAGGAGACAGUGGAUUCGACCACGAGGCUUGGAAGCUAGGGGUUUUUAUAGAAAAGGAGUGGGGCUGGGGAGGAAUUGGCGCGGUUUCACAUGAUUGGUCCAUUUAAACAUCAGCAGCCUGUAACAUUUAACUUAGGUCAGAGGGGUGGGAGAUAGGGAGGCGAUGGGCCUGCCCGGGCAUGUCCUGGUCUGUUCUGCUAUGUUCUCAGCCCCAGGUUUCAAAGCUCACAAACAAGUCUUUGGGCUAUUUGACAUACAUUACAUGAAUCACAGGUCUCAAGUUUUAUUUCCUUUCAAUGUCACCACACCAGGCUAAACAUUCAUACUGAGUGCAUUCAGAGUCUGUAUGUAAGUAAGGUUAUGGGAAGAAAUGGUUAAACUGCUUAACCACGAGAUAGCCCCAUCCGGGGAAUUGAACAUCCAGACUUGAAUGCCUGUCUGUUGGAACUUCCUAGGGCAUCUGUUGGGUUCUCAUGGGAUACACGGACUUGUAAUUUCAGUUUAAAGAGUUUAGGGUUGUGAGGCUCCAAGUGUGGUCACCAGAGUGUGUUUUAUAGACACACAUUUUUCUUUUCUUUUUGAGAUUAUAAUGUAAUACGCCAUUUGCCUCUUCCUUUCAAAGUGUGUGUUUUAAAUAUGUAAAUCCAGAGUCCUCUUUGCAGUAGUUGGGCCUGAAUCACAUAAAAAAGAGUCCAGGGAUCUCCAUUUCUCUCAGGUUUGUUUUUUUUUUUUUUUAAUGCUUAUUUUCCAUUCUGAAAACCCUGAACAGUUGGCAUGAGCAGGUGGCUCCAGGUGCUCUUUAGAGUCCCUUGGGAAUGUUAAUUUUCCAGCAGCUUUGACCCAGCCUCACCACCCUAACUGAAUUGUUCUAGAGCGCAGCCAGGGAGCCCUGGGAGGCUGUAGGAUGCGAUUAUGUGCUCUGCAGUGGAGUGGAGUGGAGAGGCAGUGUCCUUAGAACUAGACAACCUAACACUGAAGGUGGCGGCACCCAGUUAACUGAAUCGGGGAUGUAAUUGACUUGGUAUUUUCUGUCAGUGUCAGGCUGAGGUGGGAGUGGAGAAGUGUGCUAAUGGUGUGGAGCUGCUGCUCAGGGCACUGAAGAAUUCCUGAAAAAGGAUGGUGCUGAUGGUCAUACAACUUUACGAAUAUAAUUAAUGUCACUGG